rnacentral:rRNA from 1 species
CUGCUCAUGCCGACCUCGCCAAUCUCGCGGCCGCGCUUGGCAGUGCUCGACUUGUCCUUGCCGCCGCCAGCGGCGACGGGUCCUUCCCGUGCCUCUACCGCCUCGUGGCCGAGUCCUCCUCUCCCCAAAUCGACACCCGCCCCUUUGUCGAGCCUGCCGUGCAUGCGAUAUGAGCAGGAUGGUGUACACCGGCUUCACAGACAUGUGGUCGUCGAGGCUUCGGAUGAGGUCGACACGGAUGAGAACAGUCCAUAGAGCCGUACCAG